CUUUACGGCCCCUGUGGGGGGCAUAUGGGAGUUUCUUUGAAGUGUCUCCUUCGAGGGUGAUCCUUAUGUUAAGCAAGUAUGAUACAGACGUAUGUUGGACAUAUGUGUCAAUAGAGAAAGAGGAAUAAAAAAAACCAAAAAAAAACCACCCCAGUUCUACAGAGUUGUGGGUCCUAUUUGGUCGUCCGUUAUUUCCUAGGGGUGUUGGCGUUAUGGCCA